UUGCUUCAGGAGCACAUGUGCUAACGUUGGAGUGAAACAGAAGAUCAGCAUGGCUCCUGUGCAGGGGUGACACACACAGUUAGGAAGCACUGCUUGUUAAA
rnacentral:snRNA from 1 species